rnacentral:sRNA from 1 species
CACGUCAGCCAGGCGGGGCGGGGCAGAACUCUCGCUUUGGCUGCCCGAGUGAGUGUGAGUGUGAGAGCAAGAACAGCCCGCAGGUCCCGAGGCGCUUGCUGGGGACUCUGCCGCGGAAAGUUCCCAGUCCCCAGCCGCAGCUACCCUGGAAAGCAGGAAGAGAACCGGAAGUAAGGCAAACUAAAGCAAGCCAAAUCCCUCAAAAUAUGGGAAAUGUAUCAAGCAAAAUCUAUGAGUGUUUCUGAUGAGAGACACUGAGUGAAGAAAAGUGCUGUCUUGGGGAUCAAUGCUGGAUGGCCCUUCUCACUGCAGCUACAGACCUUGGAGACAGAGGAAGAUGCAGCAAGGGGUACUGAUGCCUCAUAAGGUUGAACAGUCUCCUUUUUUUGUUAUGUUCAGAUGCCUUCGUGAAACUGGUUUUACCUGAGAAAGAGGAGCUGUCAUUCAGCGAGUCGUAGGUGGCAGUGUGCAUGGCAGAGUCCCAUGUGUUACACCACGAGGACAUUCACAUUUUCCCACUUGGUGAGGUCCUUCUACCUAAUCCUCAUUCCUUGUGCACAGAAGAGGACUGGAAAAUUCUCCUCAUAGAACUGCAUACUGUUAUCUCUGAGAAGUGUUUUCCAAAAAGUGCUUUAUAAAAACAGCCAGGCAGUUCAGCAUUGUGGAUAAGCUUUUAUAACUUACUUACACCCUGAAGAUUUCAGAGUUCACAACUUUCAGGAUCUAAGGAAUGGUGACCAUCAUAAGCCUGUUUGUGCUUCUAAAAGGAACACUGACACCUAGAAAUAAGUCAGUUAUCAUCGACAAGGUGAAGAACUACAAAGUUUGGCCUUUGGCGUUAAAAUGAAGAAAGCUGUGUUCAUGUAUACAUAUCUAGACUUCAUUAACUUGCUCCUAUUUCCAUUUUGUUACCUCCCUGAGACAAAACAAGUAUGAAACUUGUUUUCAAAAUUACAAUUUUGCAUUAUUGUUCAUUUGAAAUGACCUAGUUCAUAAUUACUAAAACAUUUGAGCUUUUGAAAGCAUUUAAAUUCCUCAUAAAAGCUAUAGAUGAAAUAAGAAAAAUGUCCUUAAGGUGAUUCCUCUUGAGGUCCAGCAUGAAUAAUUCCGGAAGGAUUUGCACUUGUACUGUGACCACUAAGAUCUGCUGCAGUUUCCCUGCUCUGAGGGGCUAAUGUAUCAGACACACUAAUUGGAGAAACCAGGAGAGAAGAUGACACCUAUACCUCCAUUAGUUUUUUUUCCUGUUUCUGUAAUUUUGAUGUUUUGUUAUUUUCUAUCUUUGUGCUCAAACACUGAUUGAUUAUUUAAACCAAAGACAAGCCAAAGAGUUGGGCAGUUUUCCAGGCAAUAUAUUUUCCAUUUCUUAUUUCUGAAAGCUGACUGUAGCUCAUGUUGUAUAAGAAAAGUCAUGUCUUGCCAUUCUGAAAUAUUUUCUGAUAUUUACCUUGAAUUGUCAAUAGCUUCGUUUACCCUAUAUGAACAUCACUGUACUGGCCUGAUUUUAAAUAGAAAAUGCAAUCCAAUCUUUAAUUUAAUGAUCAUUAUGUCGACUGUACUAAAUAAAUACAAAUUACAGAAAUCAAGAUUAUUGUUUUCUGCUUGAAAUGUUAAUGACUAAUUCUGACUGUUUUGCAUGGCUUGAUUACUAAGUGUUUGGUGUAAAUAUACAUUCACAUAUAUUUCUGACUUUUAGAGUAAAAAUGAACCAUAGACAAUGUGGAAAAUUCUGUUAACCAGGAUAUUUACAAUAAAGUGCCAUGACCUCAUGAAUGGUAUUUUUGACAAGGUUAUCUUCUCAUGAGUUGUUCAUUCUUUUACUGCUUCAUUAGUCUUAGAGGUUCUGAAACUUGGGAAAAGAUAAACCUAAUUCACAUUACUUAUAAACGAUGAGGUUAACGUACGUAAAAAGAGACACAGAAACAGUUCAGUACCGUGAACUCACACAGAAAAUUAUUCACUGCAUGCUGAAAUCUGCAGUUGAUUAAAGCAAAAGGAGAACUGGCAUGUCUUAGAGAUUAAAACCCUUAACACUUUAUGUCCCUAAUACAGUGGAAGCAGACGAACCCUAGCAGCUGUGUUAGUUCACUUUUCUAAAUUAACAAAACAAUGCCAAGAUGCCAAUAGUUUAGAAAGAUGAUCAGAACAAGGCAAUAAGAUUUGCAAAAGAUAUCAUUUGACAGAGGUAAUUCACAGAAUGCAAGCCUGGUGCUUUGAAGCACUACAGUCACACCAAUCCUUGACUCUUAUUGGCUUAAAAUCCAAAUAAUCUUACAUUUAAAUGGAGCUUAGGAAAUCCUGCAGAAGAGAGGAAAGAAGGAUAGAAGG